CCCUUAGAUGUUCUGGGCCGCAUACGCGCUACACUGAAGGAGGCAGCGUGUACUCCUGGAUCGAAAGAUUUGGGUAACCCGCGAAUCUCCUUCGUGCUAGGGAUUGAGGUUUGCAAUUAUCCUUCAUGAACGAGGAAUUCCCAGUAAGUGCAAGUCAUAAGCUUGCGCUGACUACGUCCCUGCCCUUUGUACACACCGCCCGUCGCUACUACCGAUUGAAUGAUUUAGUGAGGACUUCGGACUGGGACCGAUGCGGCUUUCGGGCUGCGUCGGUAUUCUGGAAAGAUGUCCAAACUGUAUCAUUUAGAGGAAGUAAAANUCGUANCA
rnacentral:rRNA from 1 species